AGAGUUUGAUCAUGGCUCAGAACGAACGCUGGCGGCGCGCCUAAUACAUGCAAGUCGAACGAGAAUGUGUAGCAAUACACAUGUACAGUGGCGAACGGGUGAGGAUUACAUGGGUAACCUACCCUCGAGUGGGGAAUAACUAGCCGAAAGGUUAGCUAAUACCGCGUACGCUUCCCGGACUGCGGUUCGGGAAGGAAAGCGAUACCGUGGGUAUCGCGCUCUUGGAUGGGCUCAUGCCCUAUCAGCUUGUUGGUGAGGUAACGGCUCACCAAGGCUUCGACGGGUAGCUAAUCUGAGAGGAUGAUCAGCCACACUGGCACUGCGACACGGGCCAGACUCCUACGGGAGGCAGCAGUAAGGAAUAUUGCGCAAUGGGCGAAAGCCUGACGCAGCGACGCCGCGUGGGGGAUGAAGGUCUUCGGAUUGUAAACCCCUUUCGGGAGGGAAGAUGGGAUGGGGUAACCCAUUCGGACGGUACCUCCAGAAGCAGCCACGGCUAACUUCGUGCCAGCAGCCGCGGUAAUACGAAGGUGGCAAGCGUUGUUCGGAUUUACUGGGCGUACAGGGAGCGUAGGCGGUUGGAUAAGCCCUCCGUGAAAUCUCCAGGCUUAACCUGGAAAGUGCAGAGGGGACUGUUCAGCUAGAGGAUGGGAGAGGAGCGCGGAAUUCCCGGUGUAGCGGUGAAAUGCGUAGAGAUCGGGAGGAAGGCCGGUGGCGAAGCGGCGCUCUGGAACAUUUCUGACGCUGAGGCUCGAAAGCGUGGGGAGCAAACAGGAUUAGAUACCCUAGUAGUCC
rnacentral:rRNA from 1 species